GACGAACGCUGGCGGCGUGCUUAACACAUGCAAGUCGAACGGAAAGGCCCUGCUUUUGUGGGGUGCUCGAGUGGCGAACGGGUGAGUAACACGUGAGUAACCUGCUCUUGACUUUGGGAUAACUUCAGGAAACUGGGGCUAAUACCGGAUAGGAGCUCCCGCUGCGUGGUGGGGGUUGGAAAGUUUCGGCGGUUGGGGAUGGACUCGCGGCUUAUCAGCUUGUUGGUGGGGUAGUGGCUUACCAAGGCUUUGACGGGUAGCCGGCCUGAGAGGGUGACCGGCCACAUUGGGACUGAGAUACGGCCCAGACUCCUACGGGAGGCAGCAGUGGGGAAUAUUGCACAAUGGGCGGAAGCCUGAUGCAGCAACGCCGCGUGCGGGAUGACGGCCUUCGGGUUGUAAACCGCUUUCGCCUGUGACGAAGCGUGAGUGACGGUAAUGGGUAAAGAAGCACCGGCUAACUACGUG
rnacentral:rRNA from 1 species